rnacentral:rRNA from 1 species
GGUCCGGCUAAUUACGUGCCAGCAGCCGCGGUAAUACGUAAGGACCGAGCGUUGUCCGGAAUCAUUGGGCGUAAAGAGUACGUAGGCGGUAUGAUAAGUUAGGAGUAAAAGGCACCGGCUCAACCGGCGUAAGCUUUUAAAACUGUCAUACUUGAGACAUUGAGGGGAAAGUGGGAAUUUCUAGUGUAGCGGUGAAAUGCGUAGAGAUCAGGAAGAACACCGGUGGCGAAGGCGGCCUUCUGGCUGGCAACUGACGCUGAGGCGCGAAAGCGUGGGGAUCAAACAGGAUUAGAUACCCUGGUAGUCCACGCUGUAAACGAUGAAUACUUGAUGUAGGAGGUAUCGACCCCUUCUGUGUCGAAGUUAACGUAUUAAGUAUUCCACCUGGGGAGUACGGCCGCA